GACGGAGGAUGCAAGUGUUAUCCGGAAUCAUUGGGCGUAAAGCGCACGUAGGCGGUUCGUUAUGUCGGAUGUGAAAGCCCUUGGCUUAACCGAGGAAGUGCAUCCGAAACUGGCGAGCUAGAGUACGAAAGAGGAUCGCGGAAUUCCCGGUGUAGAGGUGAAAUUCGUAGAUAUCGGGAGGAACACCGGUGGCGAAGGCGGCGAUCUGGGUCGAUACUGACGCUGAGGUGCGAAAGCGUGGGGAGCAAACAGG
rnacentral:rRNA from 1 species